rnacentral:rRNA from 1 species
CCUACGGGAGGCAGCAGUGAGGAAUAUUGGUCAAUGGACGAGAGUCUGAACCAGCCAAGUAGCGUGAAGGAUGACUGCCCUAUGGGUUGUAAACUUCUUUUAUAUGGGAAUAAAAUGUUCCACGUGUGGGAUUUUGUAUGUACCAUAUGAAUAAGGAUCGGCUAACUCCGUGCCAGCAGCCGCGGUAAUACGGAGGAUCCGAGCGUUAUCCGGAUUUAUUGGGUUUAAAGGGAGCGUAGGUGGAUUGUUAAGUCAGUUGUGAAAGUUUGCGGCUCAACCGUAAAAUUGCAGUUGAUACUGGCAGUCUUGAGUACAGUAGAGGUAAGCGGAAUUCGUGGUGUAGCGGUGAAAUGCUUAGAUAUCACGAAGAACUCCGAUUGCGAAGGCAGUUCACUGGACUGCAACUGACACUGAGGCUCGAAAGUGUGGGUAUCAAACAGGAUUAGAUACCCCUGUAGUC